rnacentral:rRNA from 1 species
UGAGGAAUAUUGCUCAAUGGGCGAAAGCCUGAAGCAGCAACGCCGCGUGCGCGAUGAAGGUCUUCGGAUCGUAAAGCGCUUUUGAGAGGGACGAGAUAGGACGGUACCUCUUGAAUAAGUCACGGCUAACUACGUGCCAGCAGCCGCGGUAAAACGUAGGUGGCAAGCGUUAUCCGGAUUCACUGGGCGUAAAGCGCGUGCAGGUGGCUUCGUAAGUUGGACGUUAAAUCUUUCGGCCUAACCGGGGGGUGUCGUUCAAUACUGCGGGGCUUGAGGGUAGAAGAGGGGGGUGGAGUUGCCGGUGUAGUGGUGAAAUGCGUAGAUAUCGACAGGAACACCUGUGGCGAAAGCGGCCCCCUGGUCUGCUCCUGACACUCAGACGCGAAAG